UAACUUAAACAAGUGAUAUAAAUGAUGAAUACCAAUUAAUAAAUGAAAAAUUCAAGACAAAAUAAUUUCUGAUUUGUCAACAACUGCUCAUGUGCAUUCACUUCGCGACGGCAGCCGCAGACAGCUCAUGGUACGCAGCGCGCGCCUGCAUUGACAAUUCACGCUGGCGCACCUGUUAAUAAGAAAGUCUAAGCCAUGUCAAAAAAGGAUUUAUCCCUCUGGUGCCGAAAAAAGAAAAGGAAAGAGGAAGAGAAAAAAGAGCAAGAUAAAGGAACACUGUUGAAGUACUUUGGAGAACAACCAACUUUACCUGCCCCUACUGUUUCGAGUGUCAGUGCCUCCACAGCUGAUGAUGCAGCAGGUUCAUCCACUGCACAAGCGACAACAAGGGAGGAGCACUUACAUGUGACUGAAAGCGAGGAGCAGUUACAUGCACCUACAUUUACUGAUCCACUG